rnacentral:rRNA from 1 species
GUGGGGAAUCUUAGACAAUGGGCGCAAGCCUGAUCUAGCCAUGCCGCGUGAGCGAUGAAGGCCUUAGGGUUGUAAAGCUCUUUCAGGGGGGAAGAUAAUGACGGUACCCCCAGAAGAAGCCCCGGCUAACUCCGUGCCAGCAGCCGCGGUAAUACGGAGGGGGCUAGCGUUGUUCGGAAUUACUGGGCGUAAAGCGCACGUAGUCGGACCAGAAAGUCAGGGGUGAAAUCCCGGGGCUCAACCCCGGAACUGCCUUUGAAACUCCUGGUCGUGAGGUCGAGAGAGGUGAGUGGAAUUCCGAGUGUAGAGGUGAAAUUCGUAGAUAUUCGGAGGAACACCAGUGGCGAAGGCGGCUCACUGGCUCGAUACUGACGCUGGGGUGCGAAAGCGUGGGGAGCAAACAGGAUUAGAAACCCUAGUAGUCC